rnacentral:lncRNA from 1 species
AAAAAGCAGACCUUGAUUGCGAAGCAAAGAAACAAUGACGGCCUAAGCCUUUAAUGAUAUAUAAUUUGAAAAUUACCAUAUGAGUUUGCUUUGUUGAACAAGACAAUAAUUUUUUUUAUUUAUAAAAUUAAUAAUAAAAUAAUGAUACUACACAUUUGACAAAAAUGUUUAUAUAUUUUUUAAGUAAUGUGAGGUUGAGGUGAACUUAUAGUGGUAAGGGGCAAGAUAGCAGGAUGUGGGGUGUGAGGUUGAUGAGUUUUUUAAUUAUUAUUUUUUCUGAUGGGUGUGUAUUUAAGGGUAGUUUGAGAAGAUAGUUGAGUUUUAUUAGAAAUUGUAAAAAUUUGAAAUAGAAGUUGGAAUAAGCUUAGAAUAUAAGGUGAACAAAGAGAAGUGUGACGUUUAAAUAGAAAAACUCUUUUUUAUAUGAGUUUGUCACCCAAUGCAUCUCCUGCAAAGCGAAGCAAACCCAUUAUGCAGCCCAACAAGCACAUACACAUA